rnacentral:rRNA from 1 species
UACGAGAGGGCCCAAACGUUAUUCGGAAUUACUGGGCUUAAAGAGUUCGUAGGCGGCGCAGAAAGUAGGGUGUGAAAGGCCCUCCGGCUCAACCGAGGAAUUGCGCUCUAAACUACUGUGCUUGAGGAAGCUAGAGGUGAGACAGAACAGAUGGUGGAGCGGUGAAAUGCGUUGAUAUCAUCUGGAAUACCGGAGGCGAAGGCGGCUCACUGGCCCGGUACUGGACGCU